ensembl:snoRNA
AUCCAUUGUAGUUCAUAAGCAUUAUGACUGGGUUUUCAUGAACAUGCAUGAGACGUUCCUUCAUUAAUUUUGUUAUGAUUUUGGCAGGUUACCUGUCUUACA